rnacentral:sRNA from 1 species
UUAUAAACCUGAUUGUAAUGUAAAGCCCACAGCGCAGCGAGGACUUGAAAUGAAAAGCGGGGCCAAAU